CAGAACAUGUGGGUUGAGAUAAAAAUUACUUACUAACACAGAAAAGCAAGUGAGAAAAAUUGUGGUAUUUAUAUAUAUCACAAGCUAUAUAUAACAGCUAUGUUCAUAUCUAUAUUAUAUAAAUGUAAUAUAUUAUGCACAUAUAAUGUAUAUAUGCUGUGGCCUGGCACUCAGCAACUGUCAAACAUCAGUGUGCUGUUAACAUUGUCUUGGCUGAAACCAAGACACAGCCAAAAUAAAUAUCUGCAGCCUCUGCAAUGCAAAGCAUCAGUCAAUAUCAAUAUAACUAUCAGGCAAAAUAAUGUUCUACUGUGUCUUGUUAUCCUGUCAAGAUAAUCCAUGCAAAUAGUCUUUAUGCAUAAAUGUCUUAUUCAGAUACUUGGAUGUAAUCCAUCAAACACUUCUCAUCCAUUAAAUAUAAUUAUAUGCUUUGUUGGAAUAACCAGAUGUUUAGUGUUGAGCAAAGCAGAUGUCUCUGCUUCAUAUUGGAAGGUUAUAAACCUAUUUACACCAGCAAUAAAGUACAAGUAUUAAAAUGAUGGAGGAAGUGAGUAUUUUUUUCACUUCAUUUUGGCAGAUUGCCAGUAAAUCACUCUUUGGAUUAGUUUAAAAAGAUACUAAAUUUGCUACAGGGUGAAUUUGAC
rnacentral:lncRNA from 1 species